GAAUUCAAGCAUAUCAAUAAGCGGAGGAAAAGAAACUAACAAGGAUUCCCCUAGUAAUGGCGAAUGAAGCGGGAACAGCUCAAAUUUGAAAUCUCCGUCGCCUGCGACGGCGAAUUGUAGUUUCGAGAAGCACUUUCUAGGCGGACCCGGGGCCGUCCAAGUUGCUUGGAACAGCACGUCAUAGAGGGUGACAACCCCGUCUGGGCGGAACCGGCCGC
rnacentral:rRNA from 1 species